UGAAAAGUGAAGCUAAGAGAUCUAGCAUUCUGCAGAAAAGUACUGGAGAUGACUCAGGACUGAAAAUGAUCAUGAAGCCCCUUUGCAAAUAUCAAAGUGGUGAUGAAGCAGUCAUGAACUUUGACCAGAAGCCGUGUUUUGUGGGAUUGCCACUUUAAUCGCUCCUGUUCAUCAUUAGGACUGCAGCCAGAGUGUGGAAGGAGGGACUCCAAAUAUAUAAGAAGAUGCUACCACACCCUGGGAGAUUGGAUUCCCCACUGCGCUGGCUUUCUCAAGCUCUGUGAAAUGUGAUGUUGGCUGGAACUUAUCAUGAAGAGCUUUGCUGUAAAACAGAUCUGGGGUAAAGUGGGUCUUAAAAAUCCUUUCUCUAUACAUCCAUGUAGAUAGAGACCAUCUCCAUUAACAGAAGAGGGAAUGAUGCCAUUCUUAUAAAGAAGCUGUACUGUGGGCACAUUUAUUCCUAAGUUGAUAGUAGCUAUUUUAACUAUGAAAAGGAUCUGCCCAGAUGAAAGAGGGGCUGCCUGUGGAGCACAGCUGGAUGGGGGAAGCAAGGUGACAGCACAGAGGAAGAGAUGGUCCAAGACCAAAGAGGAAAGAAAUGGCAUAAGAUGGGACAGUGUUCUAUGAUCUCUAACUGGCCAAAGAAAAAUGAGAAACAAAUUUAAAAGAAGACAGUUGGAUGACUUAAACACCACCCCUGAGAGGCAGCUGUUUCCAGAAUAUUGCACAAUUUAUUGAGUUCAUGAGAAUCGUGAUCGUUGGCAGCACCGAACUUCACGGAGGGAAUCAUAGGCACUUUAAUUCCAAUUUGUUGACUUAUGGAGGAAGAAAUUUCUCCCAGUGGUGUCCCUUCAUCCAGGAACAAGAGCCAUCAAAGUGUCACAGACUUAGAGCCGGAAGGGCUCUCCGCUAGUGUUUCUGCCAGUCCUCUUGGUUUUACACAUGAGGAAACUGAGGCCCAGAGAAGUUACCCAGUAGCAGAUCUGCAAGUCACCCAGUAGCAGAUCUGCAAGGAGCUCUUAGCAAUCCUGACUCCAAGUGUAAUGCUCUUGCAUUAGCUCUGUGCUGCCUCCUAGAUGUUGGUCUUCUUAAUGUUGAUAGCACAUUUGCUCAAAUGUUUGCUAAUAUGGUUUGGCUGUGUCCUCACCCAAAUCUCAUCUUGAAUUGUAGUUCCCAUAAUCCCCACUUGUCGUGGCAGGGACCCAGUGGGAGGUAAUUUAAUCAUGGGUGUGGUUACCCUCAUGCUGUUCUCAUGAUAGGGAGUGAAGUCUCACGAGAUCUGAUGGUUUUAUAAACAAGAGUUCUCCUGCACAAGCUCUGUUGCCUGCUGCCAUGUAAGAAGUCCCUUUGCUCUUCCUUCAUCUUCCGCCAUGAUUGUGAGGCCUCCCCAGCCAUAAGGAACCAUGAGUUCAUUAAACCUC
rnacentral:lncRNA from 10 species